rnacentral:tRNA from 1 species
GCGGAGGUUGCCAAGCCCGGUUAACGGCGCUAGACUCAGACUCUAGACCGCUGGAACAUUUUUCCAGUGGGGAAAAUCUCGUAGGAGUUCGCGAGUUCAAAUCUCGCCCUCCGCACCA